AGUGGAAAAUUUCAGGAGAUGGCAAAUUUCCAUCGCUAAAGUCUGAAUUCUAAGCCCAGUCCGCCUGGCUUGAAAAGCAUCAUAAAGCUCCUUGUACACUCACAAAAAGAGGGGAAUAGUGAGUUUCCCUCUGGAAGCUGAGAAGUUAAAAUCGGGGGAUCAUUUAGGAGCCCACCAGAAACCAAGUCUCAUUUCAGUGGCUGGGGCCCUUGGAGCAGGAGUCCUGGGAGGGACAUGGGAGCCCAGAAGAAGAGGACGGGUGGAUCACUGGCCUGCAGAGGGCGCUCCAGAGGCUGGAGAGCUAAUUCCCUGGAUGACCAGCAGGAGGUGCUGCAGGGCUGCAAAUUUUUCAAGCCUCCCUCCUCUGUCCCGAAGGCUAUCUGAGAUAAGGCAGUGGAAAAAAAUGCACGUGAGACGAAAUGUUCUCGGAAAUCAUGCAAUCGACCCGCGAUGAAAGAGCUCAUCUGAAUGAGUGGAAGGACACCCUAUCCCAGUACAGGAAAGCUGCCAGUGAACGUGAGGCCAUGAGGGACAAACGUGAGGAGAGGAGGGGCGCUCGAGAUGAGAGAUGGCGGGAUGCAUCGCUGGGGCUGCUGCGUGAGCAAAUGGACAUGCUCCGGCAUCUGGUGGAGCUUCAGGAAUGGCAGCAGGAUCACAGAGUGCUGCUGCAGCCCCUGUAUAAUCGCCCUCCCCCCUCACCAUGUUCCAUAGCCUCCUCACCCAGACGUGUAAGAAUGCGGGGAGAGGGGGAGGCUCCGUGCACCCUCCCACUCCACCCGGGGACAGCCCAAGCAAAAGGCUGUCAUUAUUUUGAACUUUUGAAGUGGCCUUUUCCUUCCCUCCUAUCCUCCUCCCAAACUCCACCCGGGCUAC